GUGUAUGCAUGUGAGGAAGCUGUGAGUGUCAGGGGUGCAGUGUGUGUAAGUGAGGGUGUGUGAUGUGCGUGUCAGGGGUGCAGUGUGUGUGUGAGGGUGCUGUGAGUGUCAGGGGUGCAUGUGUGUGUGUGAGGGUGCUUUGCGUGUCAGGGGUGCAAUGUGUGUGUGUGAGGGUGCUGUGAGUGUUAGGGGUGCAUUUUGUGUGUGCUGUGAGUGUCAGAUGUGUAGUGUGUGAGUGAGGGUGCUGUGAGUGUCAAGGGUGCAGUGUGUGUGCUGUGAGUGUCAGGGGUGCAGUGCGUGUCAGGGGUGCAGUGUGUGUGUGUGAGGGUGCUGUGAGUGUCAAGGGUGCAGUGUGUGUGCUGUGAGUGUCAGGGGUGCAGUGUGUGUGUGUGAGGGUGCUGUGAGUGUCAGGGGUGCUGUGUGUGUGCUGUGCGUGUCAGGGGUGCAGUGUGUGUGUGUGAGGGUGCUGUGAGUGUUAGGGGUGCAUUUUGUUUGUGCUGUGGUGUCAGACGUGCAGUGUGUGAGUGAGGGUGCAGUGCGUGUCAGGGGUGCAGUGUGUGUGUGAGGGUGCUGUGAGUGUCAGGGGUGCAGUGUGUGUGCUGUGAGUGUCAGGGGUGCAGUGUGUGUGUGAGGGUGCUGUGAGUGUCAGGGGUGCUGUGUGUGUGCUGUGUGUGUCAGGGGUGCAGUGUGUGUG